GGGGUGCGUGAGAAACAAGAGAACAAUUGAAUUCAUAGUUCUUUUGCACACACAUCUAAAAUAUUUCCUUUAGGGAUAAAACUUGAGCCCGGGUGGUAAAAUGCUUGCUUAGAAGCAAGCAGAAGACAUGUGGCAUUCUUGGGUUGAUCCCCAGAACCAAAAAGACCAAAUGAUGGAGGAACACGUGUAAUCCCAGCACUUGGAGGGCUGGCAAUUCAAUACAACCUUUGGCUCCAUCGUGAGUUGGAGGCUAGCCCGAGAGAAGUGAGACCCUGUCUACAGCAAACCCUGUGCAGCCUCAGAAUGUAGCAUUUUGAAUAAGAAUGACUGGCAUAGGCUCAUAUAGUUGAGUGUUUGGUACCCAGUUGGUGACCUGGUUAGCAAGGAUUAGGAGGUGUGGCCUUGUUGGAGGAGGUGUAUCCUUGGAGGUGGGCUUUGAGGUACAAGGACAACACCAGGCCCUGUGUGUCUCCUUCUGUGCCUCCACUUUUCAGAUCAGAUGUAAAGUCUCAGCUACUGCUACAGUGCCAUGACUGCUUGCCUACCUGCCUGCUGCUAUGCUUCCCGCCAUGAUGGUCAUGGACUCAGCCUCUAAAACGGGAUUAAAGCAUCCAUUUGUACAAACGACGUCCCUCCAAAGGUGAUCAGAAGAACAACUGUGACCCAUCCACACAUGGAGCACUAAUCCCCAGAGGGAAGGAAUUGAGGAGCAUGAACCCCAAGUCACAACCCAACACCGGGGCUAAAUCACAGGGAACCCCGCCAAGGGACGCAAGCCACACAAAGAGAAAAAGCAGAUCCAAGGGGGAAGCCGUGACUCUAAAGUUUACCAGGAGCAAGACCCAGAGUUCUUUGGUUUCUUGGACUUGCUUGUGAAGUCAACAUGGCUUUAUCUCCUCAAAGCUGAAAGGCAUGCUGCAAAAUUAACACAGAGAAGAGAAAACAAGCCCAGGAUGGACGGACGUGCCGGCCUCGAAGCCAUUGGUGACUGCCACAAAAGUGAUGCUUCAGGAAGAAACUAUGCAACCCACCAGUCGAACUCUUGCAUGCCCUGAUGCCUCACCUCAAAUGUUAGGCAUCACAUGACAUCUACUACUGCGUGGAUCUGUGUGUGCCAAGUACCAUACACACCAUCACAUUUAUGGUUACCAACCACCUAUCUGGCUGGGGAGUGCCAUCCCCACUUUCAGAUGAGAAAAUGACUCAGGCUGAGUCCCUUGCCCAUGAACCUGCAGCAAUCAAUUAAAUGAAAGCUGGCCAAUCUGAAUCCGAGGAUCCCCAAAUCUGAUUCAGCUGUGACAUCAAGGACUUCUGAGAUGCUCAAGCCAGACUAUUUUAACUCUUUUAUUAAGGGAAACAACAUCAAAUAUCUGAUAUGGAGCUGGGUGUACUUCAGUGAAAGGAAGGAGACCCACGCAGAAACAUGGACGUCACCCUUCCGUACCAAAGGAAGCCUCCUGGUUGAUUUUUGCCAUUGCUCCGUGAACUUGAAACUACCCAUUUAAUUUGGUGGGUUGAUUUAACUCUGUAGCACAAUAUGACCAAAGAGAUGCCCUUCCUGGUUCAUGACCCUGCUGUCGGAGAGGCAGAAUCUCUACCUGGAAGCCUCUGAGUAAGAAAAGGAAGAGCUUGAGGAGUCUGGGGUGAGACAGAGCAGUUUGGAAACCGGAUCAGCUGGUGGAGUUAGGAUAAGACACAGCCGUGACGGAUCCCAGUCAUCCUUUGAUCAGACCACUGAGUGGAUAGAACUUCAUCCUGACAGAGAAGUAUUUUCUGUGGGAAAAAAAAAUACAAAACCAUUUCACCUCCAGUCUUUCGUGUGUCCACCUCUCCCCUAACCCCUUGAAUAGCUACCCGUCUGUGCCACAAGCAGACCGGCCUACAGGUUGGUUAGAAAUGUGCUCGGUUGUACAUUUGCACCUCAUUAUGACUCUUCCAUGCUCCCCAAAAAGGACAACUGAAGUCUUUGCUGUGCCUUAGGCACUCAGCAGACAGACAGGUAUUCUCUGUAGACAGACAGACACUCUCUGUAGACAGAAACUUUCUGUAGACAGACAGACAGACAGGCAGACAGGCAGACAGAUACUUUCUGUAGAUAGACACUCCAUGGACAGGCACUCUGUAGACAGACAGGCACUCUCUGCAUACAGACACUCGCUGUAGACAGACAGACAGGCAUGCUGUAGACAGUCUGGAGGAAAUCAAAGCAACAUCUAGAAGCCCUGAAGUCAUCAGUACAACUCUGACCCGGAAUUCAGGAGGAAGCCCAGGAACUUUCCCCAGGGCAUCAGGAACACCAGUGAGACAAAAGGAAAGGCCUUAUAUUCUGAGCCCUCAAAAGACCUUUUCAGAGAAAUACCUACUUGUUCUUUCCUCAUCGAUGACAAACAAAAGAGAUGAGGACACACCUUUUUCUGUUCUCUUCUUUUGCCCUCCCACCCUUAUUUAGGAUAAAUGUGGUAUGGAGAGGGAGGGCAACUUCUCUUAUUCCUCACUUGUAUGCAGCGCUUGUUCAGGAAAUAUGACCAAGCAUCUUGUCAUCUUUAUCAUGUCCUAUUAACUGUCUUACAGCUGACUCUACAGUGACCGUCAUGCUUAUGAAGAUAAGAUGGUAGCUGUGUGCAGUCUCUCAUCAUGGCCAAGUCACCUUCUUCCUGAUUCGCAGAGCUGGAAAUAAAAACAAGGAGAGGCCAUUGGUUAAAGAAGUCAUUGGCAGAGCAAGCUGAAUGCUCUGCUUCCUUCAGUGUUGGCCCGUGACCAAGCAACAGGUUCAGGUCAUGAGCCUGGGCUUCAGGCUGUAGACAGGCAAACUGUGAUGGGCACAGAGAACCAGGCUGAAAACAGAGGUAGGUUGAGGUAGUCAAGUCUAGCUACUGUUGGAUUAGUAGCAACUCGAAGAUGUUACCUUCCUUCAUCAUUAACAAUCACCCUUUGCAUGCUAGAUACAGCACUUGACAUCCGGAGAGGACACAAUCCACAGGGCAUUCUAACACAUUGAAUGCAGGAAAAAAAAAUGGAGGGCAGGAAUAAGUGUGAACUCUGCAUAAGCAUCAAGUCACUGAAGACCAAUGUAGGGAAUCAGCACCAAAAUGACACAGGAAAGAGGAUGAUGGGAAAUCUGCAGGACAGGCAGUGUCACGGGUUAUGAAGGACAAUGCAUUUCUUAAAAAAAUUUUGAAAGAAGCAAGUGGUAAGCAAGGCAGUGAGGGGUACCGUGCAUGGCAGUGAGGGGCACCGUGCAUGCAGUGAGGGGCACUGUGCAUGCAGUGAGGGGCACCGUGGCUCUCAACAGUAGAAAGGGGAGGUGGAUGCUUAUAUCCUGGUGGCAGUCAGGAAGCAGGGCACGGCCAGAACCCAGGCAAUUAGCUCUCUUACCUUCUGACAUGCCACUACCUUACCACUGGGCCUCAUGUUCAAAGGUUUCCACAAGCUCCAGGAAUAUGGGUUUAAAUGCAUUGGCCCAUAGAGGGCAUCUCACAUUCCUGCCACAGCAGUUAGAUGGAAAAGAUUGGUUUAGAGUCGAGGAAAGCCACAUAGAAAUACUAAUACAGCACAAUGGGGCAGCGGUCUUCUGGUGAGUGAAGAACUCCAUAAGGAAGGGACCUGAAGGCCGGGGAGAUAGUUUGGUUGACAAACUGCUUGCUUUGCAAGCACAGGAAUAUAUGCUGGAUCCCCAAACCCACGUAAACAGGUCAGGACAUGAUGCAUAUUUGUGACCAGUUCUGGGGAGGGAAAGGUAAGAGCCCCAAGGCUUACUGAGUAACUAUCUUAGCCUACUUAGUUCUGUGGCCACGACUUUGUGUAAAAACCAAAACAAACAAAGCAAAAAUAUCAACCAGUCAAGCAAACCACCCGGGUAAGUGGUACCUGAGAGACGACCCUGAGUUUGCCAUCUGGCUUCUACAUGUAUGUAUACAGAUGGACUAUGACCCGAGCCUUUGGGUCACGCAGCACUGUCACAGGUGUGAAGAGAGUUGAAGGAUGCGUAGUGAGACAGUAAAGAGACACAGACAGAUGCAGAACCAGAUGUGAAAUGGCCUCUGAAGCCAGUUGUUCUCAGCGACUGCUUGUGGCAUGAAUUAGCACAGAGGCUAAGCAAAACCAAACCAACUCGGAGGGCAGGGGGAGGCAGCAAGACAGAACUGAUAAUCGAGCAUUGAGAACCUUAAAAAAGCAAGCCACCGUGGAUGCUUUUGUGGUGCCCGGAACAACAGACUCCCACCCAGGAGGCAAGGAAACAUACAAAUUCCCUGAGCUCAGUCAAGAAAUAGCCGUGGAGGCUGGGUGGUGGCGCACGCCUGUAAUCUCAGCACUUGGGAGGCAGAGGCAGGUAGAUCUCUGAGUAUGAAGCCAGCCUGGGCUACAGAGUGAGUUCCAAACCUGACAAGCUAUAUUGUGAGACCCUGUCUGAAAAAAAAAAAGAUUUAACACGGGUUUGGAGGAGUGAGAUUUAAUGAACUUCUGUUAUUUUUCUUGGGGGUGGGGUAUUUGAGUCAGAGUACUUAGUUCAAUACCCUUAUUUUUAUCAUUCAGAAAACCAAGGCCCAGAGAGGACAGCAAGGUUGUAUCCCACAGACAUCCACAUGGGCCAGUGAAGUUCUGGUAGGCCUAUACUAUAUUUAGAAAACAGCAAAUAUAGUUGAUGUCUUAGGCACAGAAAUUCCUUCAAUGUGACCGUAGGAUGAGGGGAAACAGAACCCUGAGGUUUGACUUUUGGCCGCUGCAUUCUGAUUUCAAAAUCCUGACCUUGCUAACCUCAGUCCCCACAGACCUCGCUGGACAAUGAACUAUAGAGCAAUAGGACCAUCCAAAAGCUAAAAGAGUCCCAAGAAAGCCACCUCAUUCCAGAAAGCUGGAAACCACUGUAGGCGAAGGAUAAGCAGGAACCUGCAACAACCCCUGGCUCCAAGAACUGGGAAGACUCCUGCUAGCUGGAGCCUCUGGCCCCUUUCCAGGGUGUCCCACUCUGGUCUUGGCUCUCUGACUUUUGCCCAGAUUCGUAUCCUCUUUGAACCCUGUGAUUAUCCGUAAUGCUUCAUCCAGCACCAUGUGUCUGUGCCAGUUUGUCCCAAUAAAUUAAGAACAAAUUGAGACUCUCGCAGGGACCGUGAAUGCAUUCCAUUUAGCUUCGUUUGAAAUACAUCUUUGGAGUUGUGCUCCACAAAUCUGUCUGACACAAUAAAUAUGUAUGAAGCCCCAGAGGCCUCCUACACCCUGGGAGCAUCCAGCUCUGGGAUGGAUAACAGACAGGGAGAAUUUUAAGUACAUCCUGUUCCACCAAGGCUCAAUUCUCUCCCAUUUCCUUUUCCUUACUUCUUUGCUUGGCAUUCUCCUCCCAACCCAGCAGAAAGAUAAUUGCUUGGAGGGCUGAGUCGGGCAGAGUUGAUUUCUUCUUUUCCUUUCCUAGUAGUGUUGCGAAACCUUUAGACUGUAAAGGAAUGACAGACUCCCCCCAUGUACAAACACAGCUCUGCUACGGCAAACAGGAAACCAUCCCAGGGCUGUGGGCUCCUGAGCCAGGAAAUGGGUCUCUGCUGCCCUGGCUACCUUCCCCACAGGUCCUUCCUGGACAUUCAAGACAGUUAAAAAUAGUAACCACCGCAGCCAGAAGGAAAGAUGAGAUGACUUAUUGUCUAGCCACAGAUUUGGGUGGUUGUAGAGGGAGCUAAAUCUCUGGUCUCAGUAUGGUAAGAAUUCUUUCAGGAUUAAGGCUGGUCCCUUUAGUAAAAUUUCAACCCCAAGUAUCUCCAAGAAACCAGCUUAUGCAAGGUAGGAGGUAAAUUAAGCAGGGCUGUCGAGCCAUCCAUGUACACACAUGGGCAUGCAUAUGUGAACACUAUAGCUAAGAUGAAACCCCAGACCUCCCAUGGGUGUGGCCUCCGGGCAGAGCAAGUGGAUCGUGGGACCCAAAGAAUAAAAAGAAAAAACAACUUU
rnacentral:lncRNA from 1 species